GUGAAAUUGUUGAAAGGGAAGCGCUUGCAACCAGACUUGCACGCUGUUGAUCAUCCAGGCUUCUGUUUGGUGCACUCAACUGCGUUCAGGCCAGCAUCGGUUUUGGUGGUGGGAUAAAGGCCUUGGGAAUGUAGCUUCUUUCGGGGAGUGUUAUAGCCCUCGGUGCAAUGCCGCCUACCGGGACCGAGGACCGCGCUUCGGCUAGGAUGCUGGCGUAAUGGUUGUAAGCGACCCGUCUUGAAACACGGACCAAGGAGUCUAACAUCUAUGCGAGUGUUUGGGUGUCAAACCCAUACGCGUAAUUAACGUGAACGGAGGUGAGAACCCUUAAGGGUGCAUCAUCGACCGAUCCUGAUGUCUUCGGAUGGAUUUGAGUAAGAGCAUAGCUGUUGGGACCCGAAAGAUGGUGAACUAUGCCUGAAUAGGGUGAAGCCAGAGGAAACUCUGGUGGAGGCUCGCAGCGGUUCUGACGUGCAAAUCGAUCGUCAAAUUUGGGUAUAGGGGCGAAAGACUAAUCGAACCAUCUAGUAGCU
rnacentral:rRNA from 1 species